AGUCCAUAAGACUUGUGGCUGCAAAGCCCACCAACCAUAUGCCUAAGCGAAGAUGUCAUUGCCAGCCAAAACAUUUCAAACUUCUUAUCGCCUCAACUUCUUUUCUCCCUCACCAGCUUCCUUUCCUGAGUGGUGCUCCACCAUGCCGGAGGUGGCGGAGCCAGUCCAAAUCAAAUACCUCCAUCAUCAAAAUAACCCUCACGACCACAUAUAUUCAACUAUACCCUCAAUUUAAUUCAAGACCCACUCAAAUCUAUGAAUCGAAAUGAUGAACCACGAACCCAAUAAUACAAAUACAUGAAUUAAACGACGAUGGUGAGUAAAAUGGAGUCCAAACCUUAAGGGUUUGUCUCCAUCGAAGAAGAACUAUAUCACGGUGAAUAAUUUAGUGCAGAUCGAAAGAGAAGUGAGGGAGAGCUUACCUUCCGGAGUAGCUUUAGCGGCUCUUCAAGGUGUUGGUGAUGAGAACAAAGGAUUCAAAGAUCUUCUUCCUCUUCAGGGAUAGCUUGGUUAAGACUAGGCAUGGCAAGGCAUGACAUGAACCAUGAGAACACCUUGGGCAAUGAUAAAAACUUAUGAAGAAAGCUUUGGACUCAUCAAGAUCUAUGAAGGAUUUUGGGCAAAAGGGAUAUGGCUUAGGAAUGGAGAAUAAGGAGGAUUAGGGUUCAAGAUAGGUUGUUGACUUUGGUCUACUCUUUGACCAAAAAGUCAACAGUUGACCAAAAGUUAACUCUAGGCCAAGACAUGUAACUUGGUGUAAUUGGUUUUGUAAUUUGACUCUUUUGAAAUUUAAUUGGAUAUUUUAGUAAUGAAAAUGGUCUUUGAGUGGGUUUGUGACACUUGUGUAUAAGAGAGAGGUUUACCCUCCAUAAAUGAAAUUGAAUUUGAAUA